rnacentral:rRNA from 1 species
UACAGAGGUCUCAAGCGUUGUUCGGAUUCAUUGGGCGUAAAGGGUGCGUAGGUGGCGCGCUAAGUCAGGUGUGAAAUUUCGGAGCUUAACUCCGAAACUGCAUUUGAUACUGGCGUGCUUGAGGACUGGAGAGGAGACUGGAAUUCAUGGUGUAGCAGUGAAAUGCGUAGAGAUCAUGAGGAAGACCAGUGGCGAAGGCGGCGACCUGGGUCGAUACUGACGCUGAUGCGCGAAAGCGUGGGGAGCAAACAGG